CUCAAAAAAAAAAAAAAAAAAAAAAAUGCCUACAACUCAACAACAACAACAAAAAACCUGAUUGAAAACAUGGACAAAUACCAGCAUGGGCAAGACAGCAAGACCCUGUCUCUCCAAAAAGCAAAAAAUUAGCCUCUUGCUAGAGAGGCUGAGGUGGAAGGAUCACUUGAGUUCAGGAGUUUGAGGCUGCAGUGAACCAUGAUCUCACCACUGUACUCUAUCUGAGGUAACAAAGUGAGACCCUGUCUCAAAAAAGAAACAAAACAGAAAAAUAGACAAAUAACUUGAAUAGACAGUUCUCAAAAGAAGAUAUACAAAUAGCCAAUAAGCACAUGAAGAUAAUAUCAUCAGUUAUUAGGGAAAUGCUAAUCAAAC
rnacentral:lncRNA from 1 species